CCCCGCUCGGGCCUCCGCCCGCGCGCCGUCCAGGACCUGCACGGUUUCCAGGUGCCCCCACCGCGCACAGUCCAGCGUUUGGCGGGGUCCCCGAGUCAUCCAAGGGCUGGUGGUAGCGACGUGUGAUGUGGCCGCGCGGGGUUUCCUCCAUCUCGCAGAAGUCAGGACACGAGAAACUUUGGAAACCUCGACUUGAGGAGAUCGGAAGAACACGGGAAGUCUGCUGCUCAAACAGAACCACCCAGAGGUUUGAGUGUGUGGAACAUUCUGGAGAAAAAAGCAGAAGUGACUCCGUCUGCUUUAAAUCUUUGUGGAGGGAAGACAGGCCUCCCCUGGGCCACUUGACCGAGUGCAGGGCGUCAUCACACAGGAGACAAAAGUGGGGGGCUGUGCUCUCCAGAACAUGUGCACGUUACGGUUCACCUUCUCCCCAGGAGAGGGCUUGCUUCAACCUUGGCCGUGGCUGGGCUGCCCUAGAGAAAAGCCUUUGACAGACAGCGGGUCACAGCUGACCCCGGAGAAGUGACCGGUGACACUCAGGCAGCCGGUGGGGAAUCGGGCUGAGGCCCCUGGGCGGACGUGCACAACUGAGGGGUCAUCCUGACCUUAUUAAAAUUUCUGAAGUUCC